UUGAUUAACAAACACUUGGACCUUGUUGUUCUUUACUGUCACUGUCUCAAAAGCUUUAAUCAAAGGCUAUUUGGAAAUAAUGCCAGCUAAUUAGCUGUUUGUGAUGCAACAAGGGUGACUCUCUCUUAGUGCCUUAAACCUUUCACCUGAAACACAAACAUGCCACACUCGAGCUUUAAUUGUCAAGGAAGAUGAAAAGUAUACCAAAUCAUUUGCUGGGGAAAGGACUCCUUGUUGACAUAAGCAACAGGAACCCGCAGGCUUGUGCAAUGUGGGCUUGUAGCUGCAGAUCCAUCACUCCCCAAGCAUGUUGUCCUGUUGAAAGUGGAUGAGUGAUGAGUCUGAUCUCUAGCAAGCUCAUAAACGGGAGCUCUAACAUCUUGGCUCAGGUGCAUUAUGUCUCCGUUGUGUUCAUAAAUAAUCCCUCCUGAAAUCAGACUACACAGAGUUCCUUUCUUGAAUCGGAACUUUCAGGAGAAAAAGAGACGAGAUGCAGAUGCAUGUUUUGUUUUCUACAUUUUCAUAUUUGUUCGUGGUUUUAUAAAGGGCCCCUUUUUCAUUUCAGCAACAGUAUUUAUUUAGUACCAACUGUGUGGCAGAUAUCACAGAUACGAAGACAUGAAUCCUGCCAAGAAGGGUCUUGCAGCUCAGAAUCUAGAGCAAAUAAGAGAUAAUUACCAAACAGCAUUCAGAGUGUCUUGGCAGAAUUUGCUACUUUUCACAUAUUUUACCAUUGGUGGCCAUGAGAAGUGCCAAGGUCAGCAGAAACACGAGUUCAAGGUAACUGUUAGCUACCAUCGAAAUUCAUCUGUUAAGUUUUCUCAGCCUCAGAACUGUUUGGAUUUGCGUCUUGAUUUCCAUUCAUAUUUAUAGUCUAUUAUUUGAAAUAAUACUUGUAUAAUUUUUCCAUGAUUCAACUGAUGUUUUCAUUUAACAGCCUGAAACUAAUUUCAUUAAUCAUUAUUGAAUCAUUAUCUUCUUUCAGUGAG
rnacentral:lncRNA from 12 species